rnacentral:rRNA from 1 species
AGCCCCUACGGGGGGCAGCAGUGAGGAAUAUUGGUCAAUGGGAGAGAUCCUGAACCAGCCAAGCCGCGUGAAGGAUGACUGCCCUAUGGGUUGUAAACUUCUUUUAUAUGGGAAUAAAAUGUUCCACGUGUGGGAUUUUGUAUGUACCAUAUGAAUAAGGAUCGGCUAACUCCGUGCCAGCAGCCGCGGUAAUACGGAGGAUCCGAGCGUUAUCCGGAUUUAUUGGGUUUAAAGGGAGCGUAGGUGGAUUGUUAAGUCAGUUGUGAAAGUUUGCGGCUCAACCGUAAAAUUGCAGUUGAAACUGG